rnacentral:rRNA from 1 species
GAGGAGGGGGGGCGAGGAAAAACACAAAAUAAGGCAAAUGCCGGAAAGGAAACCUUUAAGUAGAAAAGAAAAUGAAACAUUACCAAGAAGCUAGGCCCAAGUUUGGUAUUAUGGGGGGGGUGGGGGGGGUUUNGGGGAAGGCUUCUGAGACAAGGUUGCUUGCAAUGGGCUGUCGUCAGCUCGUGUUGUGAAAAUGUUGGGUUAAGUCCCCCGCAACCGAGCGCAACCCUUAUCCUUGUUUGGCCAGCGAGUCAUGUCGGGAACUCCAGGGAGACUGCCCGGUGAUAAACCGGAGGAAGGUGGGGACGACGUCAAGUCAUCAUGGCCCUUACGAGUAGGGCUACACACGUGCUACAAUGGCGCAUACAGAGGGCAGCAAGCUAGCGAUAGUGAGCGAAUCCCAACAAAGUGCGUCGUAGUCCGGAUUGGAGUCUGCAACUCGACUCCAUGAAGUCGGAAUCGCUAGUAAUCGUGAAUCAGAAUGUCACGGUGAAUACGUUCCCGGGCCUUGUACACACCGCCCGUCACACCAUGGGAGUGGGCUGCAAAAGAAGUGGGUAGUUUAAAUUUCGGGGAGGACGCUUCUAACA